GUGCUUUUCAAAAACUGAGAAUGUGACCCUGACAACUUAAAAUCUAAAGUAUAUUGAAAGUACAUACAAGUUAGAGGUUCUGCUGCCUCAGAUGCCUUUAACAAAUUUUCUUACUUUGAAAUACACUUCCUUAUUUAAAAAUUAUUUUUUCUCUUUGUUGCUCUAUCAGAAGUCAACCCACAGAAGUGUAGGAAAAUGAAUAUGGAAAUAACUGUAUGAAAGAAAUUAUGAAACCUGUUUAUCUGCAGUGUUCUGCCAAAUGAACAAUCAGAAAAUGUGAUUUUUUUUUUCUCCCUGUGGCUUUUCCAGUUACAAGAAUUUGGAAAAGGUGAGAGCCAAGUUCAAAUGCCAGCCUGAACCUGAUAUUCAAGAAAUUCAAGGCAAUGGCUCUUGUGAGAAGCUCACGUAUCAGGCUUAUGCAAGACUCCUCCAGAAAGUGCCAAGUUUCUGCCAAGGGAGACAGUGUGAGCUCCAGGAUGCCUCCGCAGCCAAAGCCAACGUGCAAGGAGGGCAAUCCCCCUCCAGCAGUCACAUCUGGUGAAAUCAGACCAAAAGAACCUACAAUUUUAACAAGCAACAACAUCAUAGAGGCAUCUAAACUCGUAUCUCCGUUGUUGGGCAACUGGACUGGGCUGGUGUGACUCUGCCACCUCACGCGCCAGCCUGUCUUGUGAAGUGCUUGGAUAGAAGUUUCUGGGUGCAGAGGACUCAGCCUCUGAUGCAGAUGGUACCCUGCGCGCCUGAGCAUGCCAGGCUGGACAGUCACGCCACGGGGUGUUAAAGCCUGUGCAGGCAUGCGCAAGAUUUCUUACAAGAACCUCAUGCAGAUGAGAGCAAACCUGCCAGCACACCCUGAACCAAGCAAGGACCCAAGACCACGAUUGUAUCAAGGUGCUGUCCAAGCCCAGACAUUAAGUGUGACACAAACCACUUCAGAUUACUAGCCCCUAUAAUUUGUAACUCUUAUAACAAAUCUCCCCGUUCCUUUUGAUCUGUAUAUGAGGCCCUUUAUGUCCUUAAUGGGGAAAAAUCACCUUGCCUCCCUCAAUGCUAUGCUGGAGGCCACCAGGUUAACUCUAUGCUAUACGCAUGGAUAAAAAGGAGGAUAAGAAGAAAGAGCAGGUCAUGCACUGACAAAGGUUGAGAAGCUCUGCUUUAAACACUUUAUGGGAAAUUGUAAAACUUCUAAACAAUUUAAUAGAUUAACUUCCCCUUUCAGUGGCAUCAGUAAAACUGAAUUAUCACCCUCACUUUUAACUGAUGCCUAGACCCAAC
rnacentral:lncRNA from 1 species